rnacentral:rRNA from 1 species
UACGAAGGGAGCUAGCGUUGUUCGGAAUUACUGGGCGUAAAGAGCGCGCAGGCGGCCAAGUCAGUCGAAUGUGAAAGCCCCCGGCUUAACUGGGGAGGGUCAUUCGAUACUGCUCGGCUCGAAGACAGGAGAGGGAAGCGGAAUUCCCGGUGUAGUGGUGAAAUGCGUAGAUAUCGGGAGGAACACCAGUGGCGAAGGCGGCUUUCUGGCCUGUUCUUGACGCUGAGGCGCGAAAGCUAGGGGAGCAAACGGG